rnacentral:rRNA from 1 species
UCUUUAAAUUAUAUUUUAAAGUCUGGUCUGCUCACUGAAUUUUAAAGAGCCGCAGUAUUUUGACUGUGCAAAGGUAGCAUAAUAAAUAGUUUUUUAAUUGAAAACUGGAAUGAAUGAUUGAAUGAUAAAUUUUCUUUCUUAUUUUUAUUUAUUGAAUUUAAAUUUUAAGUUAAAAUUCUUAAAUAAUAUUAAAAGACGAGAAGACCCUAUAGAUUUUUAUUUAUUAUAAAUUAAUUAUAUUUAUAAUUUAAAAAUGAAUUUAGUUGGGGUGAUUUUGUAAUAUAAAUAACUUAAAUUUUUAAUACCAUAAAUAAUUGAAUUUUUUUAUCUAAAAUUUUUAAAAAAAGAAUAAAUUACCUUAGGGAUAACAGCGUUAUAUUAUUUAAGAGUUCAUAUCUAUAAUAAUAAUUGCGACCUCGAUGUUGAAUUAAGAAUUAUACGGGAGUAGAAAUUCGUAGAAUUAGUCUGUUCGACUAUUAAUAUC